GAGUCAGACCUGCCCAGUGAAUAAUUUUUAACGGCCGCGGUACUCUGACCGUGCAAAGGUAGCAUAAUCAUUUGCCCUAUAAUUGAGGGCUAGUAUGAAUGGUUUGACGUGAACAAAACUGUCUCUAUAUAAUUUUUUAGAAUUUGAUUUUUAGGUGAAGAAACCUAAAUAUUAUUGAAAGACAAGAAGACCCUAUUGAGCUUUAAAAAAAUAAAUAGAAAAUAAUAUAUAAUUUUUAAAUAUUAAUCAAUUUUUAAAUUUUGGUUGGGGCGACUAUGGAACAAACAAAGCUUCUUUAUUAUUAAUAAUACUAACAAGUCUUGAUCCAAAAAUUAUGAUUAAUGAAAUUAGUUACCUUAGGGAUAACAGCAUAAUUCUCUUUAAGAGUUCUUAUCGAAAAGAGAGUUUGUGACCUCGAUGUUGGACUAGAAUAUCCUAAAGAUGCAGCAGUCUUUAAAGGUUGGUC
rnacentral:rRNA from 2 species